rnacentral:tRNA from 1 species
GCUGGGGUAGCUCAGUGGUAGAGUACUUGCCUAGCAUGUAUGAGGCCUUGGGUUUGAUUCUCAGCACCACA